UAUGGUACAUAGUAAACGAUGUCGUCCCAGUGCUUGACACUGGAAUCCAGCUUUUUCAUAAUCAUCAAAAUGUUGUAUUUUAACAUAAAACGGCUACUUUUAUGCUUACCAACUUAAUAAAAUUCCUGGAUCCCAGUGUCAAGCACUGGGAUGACACCAUUUGUUGUAAACUC
rfam:Glossina morsitans morsitans, isolate Yale, WGS project CCAG01000000 data, contig: ctg10012843